AACGAACGCUGGCGGCAUGCCUAACACAUGCAAGUCGAACGAAGGCUUCGGCCUUAGUGGCGCACGGGGGCGUAACGCGUGGGAAGCUGCCCUUUGCUUCGGAAUAACAGUUAGAAAUGACUGCUAAUACCGGAUGAUGUCGCAAGACCAAAGAUUUAUCGGCAAAGGAUGAGCCCGGGUUGGAUUAGCUAGUUGGUGGGGUAAAAGCCUACCAAGGGGACGAUCCUUAGCUGGUCCGAGUGCAUGAUUAGCCACACUGGGACUGAGACACGGCCCAGACUCCUACGGGAGGCAGCAGUAGGGACUCUUCCGCAAUGCACGAAAGCCUGAUGGAGCAACGUCGCGUGAGUGAUGAAGGUCUUCUGAUCGUAGAACUCUGUUAUUAGGGAAGAACAUAUGUGCAAGUAACCGUGCACAUCAUGACGGUACCUAAUCAGAAAGCCACGGCUAACUCCGUG
rnacentral:rRNA from 1 species